GAGUUUGAGUUGCGUCUCUGGCUUACUUGACAGAAACACGAAACACUCUACAAUUUCCCGACAAGCACAGCGCGCCAGGAAACAGCGGGUGGACUAUCGACUAGCAGGGAGGGAAGAGCAAAGGGGUUCGAAACAUCUAAUGUCGUCUUCCGUAGAUCGUCUCUCCAGGGUUUGGUCUAUUCACGAACUUGCGUCGUCUUUCAACAGCAAACAAUGAUGUGGCUGUAGUUUAGAGCAAACACACAGCAACAAUUUGAAAAAUUUAGCUUCUUGAAGGCCAACCUGCGUGUGUGUGUUUUUAUCAGUAGAUACAUACAGUCACUUGUAAAAACUGCAACAAAUACAUCAAUUUGUGCCAAACAAAGCGCAAAUUCGGAGCUAAGGACCUGUCUGACUACACAAAACACCCGCCGCCCCUAGCAGUAUCUACCUUGUGACGAUAUUCACUUCUAUGAUGGGGUAAACUCUGAUGUAAGAAUAGAUACACACUUCAAGGACACUAACCACAGGGAAGGCUACCAGCCAGCAGCACCCUCCCCCAGUUCUUCGACUACUUUUUUGCCAACGAAGAGUGGUAUUGACUGUUACAUUAUAACACCCUCACGGCUGAAAGAGCGAGCAUGAUCGGUGGCGGGUUUCGAUCCUGCGAUCCACAGAUUGCAAGUCGAGCACCCUAACGGCCAGAUCCGGUAGUCAUUCUAGUAAACUACGUUAAAUAAGGCUUAGAGCUGUUGGUUCGCUUUUCUUUUUCUUCUGUUGAUAUUUUCAAAACAAAAGAGCUUUUAAACUUGACAUUUGCUGUUAAAUAAAUGUGGUAGGGACAUUCAAGCCAUCUCUUUACAUUGAAUAAAGGUUUCCAAAUCUUAUUUCAUUUAAAUAUGUUGAACAGGGUUAAUAUAAAUGCUCACUCUGUUCACAUUAUUUGUUCACUUUGAACCAAGUUUUAUUUAUAGGUUCGGUUUUAUAAUUAUCAGGUUAAUUAUUUCUCUGAGCUGCUGGUAAUAUUAUGGUUAGUUUUAAAAUAAACUUGUCAAUUAGUUUCUCUAUGGAUGAGAACAGGUCUUCUAUCUUAAACUUCUUUAGUGUACUUUAACAAAACUGUAACUGUUUAUUCAACAAAUCGAAAAUACACUUUGUAUUAGA